rnacentral:rRNA from 1 species
UACAGAGGUCUCAAGCGUUUGUUCGGAUUCAUUGGGCGUAAAGGGUGUGUAGGUGGCGCGCUAAGUCGGGUGUGAAAUUUCGGAGCUUAACUCCGAAACUGCAUUCGAUACUGGCGUGCUUGAGGACUGGAAAGGAGACUGGAAUUCAUGGUGUAGCAGUGAAAUGCGUAGAGAUCAUGAGGAAGACCAGUGGCGAAGGCGGGUCUCUGGACAGUUCCUGACACUGAGACACGAAGGCCAGGGGAGCAAACGGG